CCCCUUUCGGGGUUGCAUCUGUCGAGUUUCCAGUACUCUACCAGUCUCGACUACAGGAGGGAGAGCCAAGCAGUGACCUACUCAUUCCAUUUCUAGCUUGGGCAGUGGCUAGUGAGUGGAAGGAAAUCUGCUACAAGU